rnacentral:rRNA from 1 species
AGUGAACGCUGGCGGUAGGCCUAACACAUGCAAGUCGAACGGCAGCACAGUAAGAGCUUGCUCUUACGGGUGGCGAGUGGCGGACGGGUGAGGAAUACAUCGGAAUCUACUUUUUCGUGGGGGAUAACGUAGGGAAACUUACGCUAAUACCGCAUACGACCUACGGUUGAAAGCAGGGGAUCUUCGGACCUUGCGCGAUUGAAUGAGCCGAUGUCGGAUUAGCUAGUUGGCGGGGUAAAGGCCCACCAAGGCGACGAUCCGUAGCUGGUCUGAGAGGAUGAUCAGCCACACUGGAACUGAGACACGGUCCAGACUCCUACGGGAGGCAGCAGUGGGGAAUAUUGGACAAUGGGCGCAAGCAUGAUCCAGCCAUACCGAGUGGGUGAAGAAGGCCUUCGGGUUGUAAAGCCCUUUUGUUGGGAAAGAAAAGCAGCAGGUUAAUACCCCGCUGUUCUGACGGUACCCAAAGAAUAAGCACCGGCUAACUUCGUG